GUGAAGACAUUGUCACACAAACAAAAACUGGGAGAGCUGGCCACCAGGGGCCUCAUUGAAAGAAAUUCUAAAGUCUAUACUUCAUGUCAAAGGAAAGUGAUUGCCAAUGAAAGAAAUGAAAACCAAGGAAAAUGGUUGACUUCAUCAGCUAUGAAUCUAUUAUGAACCACUGCACUGGAACAAACGUAUCCUAAGUAAAAAGAAAGACAACCUCUUGUAACUAAUGAGACUCAGAACAUCCUCAAAGAACAGAACCUUCAGCCCAGAAUUUCAUAUCCAGCCAAACUAAGCUUCACAACUGAAGGAAAAAUAAAAUCUUUUAUGAACAAGCAAGUACUCAGAGAUUUUAUUACCACUAGGCCUGCUUUACAAGAGCUUCUGAAAGAAGCAUUACACACAGAAAGAAACAACCAGUAUUAGCCUUUCCAAAAAUAUACCAAAAAGUAAAGAGCACCAACAUAAAGAAGAAUUUACACCAACGAAUGGAUAAAACAGCCAGUUAACAUCGAAUGGCAGUAACCCUAAAUUUAAAUCGACUAAAUCCUCCAAUCAAAAGACACAGUCAAAACCCAACAGCAUGUUACAUCCAGACCUGUUUCACAUGCAAGGAUACAC